AUUCAUGUAGACUUGGACUGUGAAAAUAAGACAAAAACAAGAAUUAUGGAUUGUAGCAGACAACGUUUAGGCGUUAACCAGAAACAUAUGAUGUAUUUUGUCAAGCCCUUGAUCAGUCAAAAAGUCCACUAUAAUAUAUCUCUUAUUGAAGAGCGAGUGCUUUGUUACGUUGUAGUCAUUCCCGGUGUUUAAUCGAAAAGUCGUUUUUGCCUUGAGUUAAUGUACAUAGGGAAACUGACAACUUAUCACAGCUAACAAAAAAGAAGCGGCAGAUAUCAAGGACACAAAACCCACAGUCAAGUGGAACUGACAUCAUUGCCAAAAAAAACCCGAAAGACGACAAAUUCACAAAGCACACUAAUACAAAAUUAUAAUGGACAAACCAAACCUCACCAAGAACUAGGUGUAUUCCAGAAUGAUAAGCAGAUGCUGCUAAAUUAGUGACACCGAUGGUGAUGAUCAUGAUAUUUACAAAUUUGGUGAUGAGUCUCUUUCUGUGAUAUAACAAUUAAAGAAAACAGAACCGGAUUGUGGUAACGACUAUUGGAUUUCGAACAUAUAUGUGGUCAUCUGUGACACAGAGAUUUCAUAAUGGUCAAUAAUUUCGUUUUUUUCUCAUCUUCAAUAGGUGCACUCUAAAGCCAAAAUAUGGAGACAAUAUAAGUUAUAUAAAUUAAACAAAUAAUUAAAUGAAGAAAAACUGUAAUUUGAAUAACGCUCUGAAAGGUUUUGGAUUUGUAACUUAUCAAGCGUUUAGGUCUUAUUUAUCCAUCCCCUGAUUGUUUAUGUUUGAACGUUACUAGUGAUGAUUACAAACGGAUGGCACUUCGAACAAACGAAAUCAAUAGUGUUAUUUUCAUUACUGGCCCGAUGAAUAUCAGAAGCUUUAUUCAUGUGAAAUUCCAGAGAAUAUUCUAAAAACAUUUGAGAACACGUUGAGACUUCUUACCAGUCCAAAUAAAAAAGACAAAAAGAAGAAUCAAGACGAUAUAAACAGACA
rnacentral:lncRNA from 1 species